ACAGGGGCCCAGAACCCCGAGCAGGCCUUUAGAGAAAAAUGGCAGAUGAUAUUGAUAUUGAAGCAAUGCUUGAGGCUCCUUACAAGAAGGAUGAGAACAAGUUGAGCAGUGCUAAUGGCCAUGAAGAACGUAGCAAAAAGAGGAAAAAAAGCAAGAGCAGAAGUCGUAGUCAUGAACGAAAAAGAAGCAAAAGUAAGGAAUGGAAGCGAAGCAGAGAUAGAGAAAGGAAAACGAGCAAAAGCUGUGAAAGGAAGCGAAGUAGAAGCAAAGAAAGGAGACGGAGCCGCUCAAGAAGCCGAGAUCGCAGAUUCAGAGGCCACUACAGAAGUCCUUACUCCGGACCAAAAUUUAACAGUGCCAUCCGAGGAAAGAUUGGGUUGCCUCAUAGCGUCAAAUUAAGCAGACGACGUUCCCGAAGCAAAAGUCCAUUCAGAAAAGACAAGAGCCCCGUGAGGGAACCUAUUGAUAAUCUAACUCCUGAGGAAAGAGAUGCAAGGACGGUUUUCUGCAUGCAGCUGGCAGCAAGAAUUCGGCCAAGGGAUCUGGAAGAGUUUUUUUCUACAGUAGGAAAGGUUCGAGAUGUGAGGAUGAUUUCUGAUAGAAAGUCAAGACGGUCCAAGGGAAUUGCUUAUGUGGAGUUUGUUGAUGUUAGCUCAGUGCCUCUAGCAAUAGGAUUAACUGGCCAACGUGUUUUAGGAGUGCCAAUCAUAGUACAGGCAUCACAGGCAGAAAAAAACAGAGCUGCCGCAAUGGCAAACAAUCUACAAAAGGAGAGUGCUGGACCUAUGAGGCUUUAUGUGGGCUCAUUACACUUAAGCAUAACUGAAGAUAUGCUGCGGGGGAUCUUUGAGCCUUUUGGAAGGAUUGAAAGUAUCCAGCUCAUGAUGGAUAGUGAAACAGGCCAAUCCAAGGGAUAUGGAUUUAUUACGUUUUCCGAUUCAGAAUGUGCCAAGAAGGCUUUGGAACAACUUAAUGGAUUUCAACUAGUAGGAAGGCCAAUGAAAGUUGGUCAUGUUACUGAACGAACUGAUGCUUCCAGUGCUAGCUCCUUUUUGGACAGUGAUGAACUGGAAAGGACUGGAAUUGAUUUGGGAACAACUGGUCGUCUUCAAUUAAUGGCAAGACUUGCAGAGGGUACAGGUUUGCAGAUCCCACCAGCAGCACAGCAAGCUCUACAAAUGAGUGGCUCCUUGGCAUUUGGUGCUGUGUCAGAAUUCUCUUUUGUUACAGAUUUGCAAACAAGACUUUCCCAACAGACUGAAGCUUCAGCUUUAGCUGCAGCUGCCUCUGUCCAACCUCUUGCAACACAGUGUUUUCAACUCUCUAACAUGUUUAACCCUCAAACAGAAGAAGUUGGAUGGGAUACAGAGAUUAAGAAUGAUGUGAUUGAAGAAUGUAAUAAACAUGGAGGAGUUAUUCAUAUUUAUGUUGACAAAAAUUCAGCUCAGGGCAAUGUGUAUGUGAAGUGCCCAUCAAUUGCUGCAGCCGUCGCUGCUGUAAAUGCAUUGCAUGGCAGGUGGUUUGCUGGUAAAAUGAUAACAGCAGCAUAUGUACCUCUUCCAACUUAUCACAACCUCUUUCCUGAUUCUAUGACCAACACAACUACUGGUCCCAAGUAGACGAUGAAGGAAGAUAUAGUCUCUUAUGUACAUAGCUCUUUUUCUUUUGAGAAUUCAUCUUGAGUUAUCUUUUAUUUAGAU